UGCAACUUCCAGAAAGUAAAAGUGACUCUGUCCGGAGUUCCAAUGGAUACAUCACGGGCUCCAAAAGAGGUUCUAAAAAGCAAAUUUGCCCGGUAGUUGUCCCUCUCCAUAGGCUACAGUUUCCUAGAGACAGGAAAGCAGGGUGCAUCGGCGUGCAGGCUUUUCUUGGAAAGUAACGAAGCAACCUGGGGCUGAGUUUAGAGACCUUAUGGGCAAGAGGUAGAACAUCAGCAUGUACAAGAUUCUGUUUGCCCCAUUAUUGGGUUACCGGAGUGCUGUAGUAAAAGCACAAAGGACACUGCUGAGAACUGGCUGGAUCACACUGUCAGCCAAGAAAAGGAAGGACGAAUGAGGCUGAAGAGACUGCAGGGCUGCAGAUGAAAUAUCCAGACCUAUGCAUCCUCAUGUGGGAUGAGUGGGUUCCGGCAAAAUUUAAGAGGCUAAUGAUGGGAUGGAGGGGUUGGCAGCAGCACAGCAUAGCAGAAUUUUCUGAUUCACUACCACUGCUGGUGUUACAGCGUGAACGUGACCUGAAGACAAAAAGGCUGUACAGAAUCAUUGUCACUUCCACAGGAGGGGUUUCGGCGACGCGUGUAAGGGAACUUUGGCGACUUAGUGCGAUCACUGGGAGAAUUGUAGAGUCCACUGGAGAGAAAGAAAAAUGGUCAAAAAGAGCCCAGAGAGUUCCUGGGGGAAAACACACCGCAGCCCAGACCUAUUCAUAACUGCACAGCUGGUACUUCCAGAGGCACAUGCACCAGGGGCACGUGGUUCUCUUUGCUGACAAGAUUUAUUAAAAGAAAAGAGGAAAGAACUAUUCUAAAAUGGACCCUCCCUCCAAAAAAGCCCAAACAGCCAAAGCAAUUCUAAGCAGAAAGAACAAAGCUGGAGGCAUCACACUACCUGACUUCAAACUGUACUACAAGGCUACAGUAACAAAAACAGCAUGGUAUGGUACAAAAACUGACAAAAAGACCAAUGCAAUAGGAUAGAGAACCCAGAAACAAAGUCAUACACCUACAACCAUCUGAUCUUCAACAAAAGCAACUAGAACAAGCAAUGGGGAAAGGACUCCCUAAAUGGUGCUGGGAUGGCCAGUCAUAUGCAGAAGAGUGAAACUGGACCUCUUCCUUUUACUAUAUUCAAAAAUCCACUCAAGAUAGAUUAAGAACUUAAAUGUAAGACCUCAAACUAUGAAAAUACAUCUUAGAAGAAAACCUAGGAAAUAUCAUUCUGGACAUCAGCCUUGGUGAAGAAUUUAUAACUAAGUCCCCAAAAGCAAUUGCAACAAAACCAAAAAUUGACAAGUGAGACUUUAAAGAGCUUCUGCACAACAAAAGAAACUAUCAACAGAGUAAACAGACAAUCUACAGAAAAGGAGAAAAUAUUCACAAACUAUGUAUCUGACAAAGGUCUAAUAUCCAGAAUCUAUAAGGAACUUCAACAAUUCAACAAGAUGAAACAAACAAUGCCAUUAAAAAAUGGGCAAAGGACAUCAACAGGCACUUUUCCAAAGAAGACAUACAUGCAACCAACAAAUACAUGAAAAAAUGCUCAACAUCAUUAAUCAUUCGAAAAAAGCAAAUUAAAAUCACAAUAAGACACCAUCUCCCCAGUCAGAAUACCUAUUAUUAAAAAGACAAAAAAUAAAGAUGUUGGCAAGAUUGUGGAAAAAAGGGAACACUUUUACACUGUUGGGGGAAAUAUAAAUUAGCUCAGCCAUUGUGGAAAGCAGUUUGGAGAUUUCUCAAAGAACUUAAAACAGAACCACCAUUUGAUCCAACAAUUCCACUACUGGAUAUAUACUCAAAGGGAAACAAAUCAUUCUACAAAAAAAGACAUAUGGCUGGGCGCAAUGGCUCACACCUGUAAUCCCAGCACUUUGGGAUGCCAAGGCAGGCGGAUCCCGAGGUCAAGAGAUGCAGACCAUCCUGGCCAACCUGGUAAAACCCCAUCUCUACCAAACCUACAAAAAUUAGCUGGGAGUGGUGGCACACGCCUGUAGUCCCAGCUACUUGGGAGGCUGAGGCAGGAGAAUCGCUUGAACCCAGGAUGCGGAGGUUGCAGUGAGUCAAGAUGGUGCCACUCCACUCCAUCCUGGCAACAGAGGGAGACUCCAUCUCAAAAAAAAAAAAAAAAAAAGACACAUACACUUACAUGCUCAUUGCAGCACUAUUCACAAUAGCAAGGACAUAGAAUCAGCCUAGAUGACCAUGAACAGUGGACUGGAUAAAGCAAAUAUGGAACAUAUACACCAUGGAAUACUACACAGCCAUAAAAAAGAAUGAAACCAUGUCCUUUGCGGCAACACGGACGCAACUGGAGGCUAUUAUCCUAAGUUAAUUAACACAGAAACAGAAAACUAGAUACUGCAUGUUCUCACUUAUAAGUGGGAACUAAACAUUGAGUACACAUGGACAUAAAGAUGGGAACAAUAGACACUGGGGACCACUAGAGGAGGAGAGGGGGCAAGGGUUGAAAACUACCUAUCACGUACUGUGCUCACUACCUGAGUGAUGGGAUCAUGCAUACACCAAACCUCAGUGAUAAACAAUUUACCCAUGUGACAAACCUACUGGCACACGUACCCCUGGACCUAAAAUAAAAGUUGAAAAAAUAAAUUUUUAAAAGGAGGAUUGUACUCCUUCUGCACAUUCUAAAAAAGCGUGGGAUCUGAAUCUCAUGGAAGAUUCCUGUUCUUAUGCUGAACAUACCACAAGCAUACCCUGUACAUACAGAUGAAGCUGAAUCUCUAUCCACAGCUUGAGGGUGACUAAGGGAAAUACAGUAAACUAAAGUUAUGCAAUGAUAAAGAACUUGUCAUCCUAAAAGGAGAACCAGUAAAUGUCUUAGAACCAAACAAAACAUAGGCAAAUCCCUGCGUAAAAUAUUAAAACUCUGAGAAUCUUCAGAUCUUAAAGUUAUCUUGCUGAGAAAUUAUGAACUAUACUCCUCAAAGUAGCCACAAUACAGCUGAAUGAAGCCACU
rnacentral:lncRNA from 1 species